GAUGAACGCUAGCUACAGGCUUAACACAUGCAAGUCGAGGGGUAGCAGGAGAGAAGCUUGCUUUUCUUGCUGACGACCGGCGCACGGGUGAGUAACGCGUAUCCAACCUGCCCAUGGGUUAGGAAUAAACUCCCGAAAGGGAGCCUAAUACCUGAUGUUGUGAGAAGAAGGCCUCUGAUUUUCACGAAAGACUUCGGUCGCCGAUGGAUGGGGAUGCGUACGAUUAGGCAGCAGGCGGGGUAACGGCCCACCUGGCCAACGAUCGUUAGGGGUUCUGAGAGGAAGGUCCCCCACACUGGUACUGAGACACGGACCAGACUCC
rnacentral:rRNA from 1 species